rnacentral:lncRNA from 1 species
GUGUGUUUUGCAGCUAAUGAUGCUGGUGGAAUCCCUGUGCCAUCUCUCCAGGUACUCUCCAGGCUCCAGCCAUGCUCCUAAACACUUCCAGAGCUCAGGAAGGGGAAGUUGUCCUGGCUCAGUGUGUCCUUCAGAAGAUAAUACCUGCUGCCCGAAUUGUCUUCUGCAAGGAUGGAAUGGAGGUUUACAGCAUGAAAGCCCAACAGCAUACCGUCAUCUACUCCAUGCUGCUGAACAUCUCUGCAAGAAGCAGUGGGACAUACACGUGUGCGUACCAGCAGAGGAACAAGAGCAAUUGGCUAAGGAGAUCUCCCCUCAGCACUCCCUUGGAUCUACAUGUCACAGGUGGGACUUGACACCAGGGUUGUGCGGACGCAGGGGAUGGGGGGACUAAACAUCACAUAGAUUUUCUGGAUCAAGAAAUGCCAUAGAGAGAAGUGGGCUCUGGAAUGGUCUCCCUCUCCAUCCCGUGCUGCAGAAAUGGGGCACUGCAGUGCCCAGGCUCAGGAAGCAGGUGCAGGGUUUGGGCACGAUCCCUUUCCUGGGAAGUGAUGCUGCAGGGGUUAUUCAAAAAAUGUUUUGAGAAUAAGGAGUGGAAACUCGGGUGAUUUCCAAGUGUGAGGUAGUUUCUCACUGUGUGAGUUCCUAUGCAGCAAGAAGGCGAUGCUGUGGCCAUAGUGUGGGGAUGGCCAGAUGUUGGUGUGCUUUGGGAUCCGGGUGCCUCCACCUGCAACAAAACCACCUAAAAGAGGCUUUAGAUGGUGGCAGGAGGGGAAAUGCAUUAUGGAGUCUUGCAAGUGGGAUGCUGUCAUCCCAUCCCAUAGAGGCAGAGCAACAUACUAGUCCUUUCUUAUCCACAAGGUCAAGGAAAGGAGAGAGUUGUGCUGCAGGAUCAUACGGUGCACAGUUGCAUUUCUGCCAUGCAUUUCUUAAUUCAUCAUAGUUUAGAUAUUUGAUCAUCAGAAUGGCAGAAACCCCAUGUCAGCCCACGUGUCUCAGGGGACAGAGCUGGCUCUGUGGGCAUCUUCCAAGGUCUACAUACCCUGCCCCGAACCAGUGCACUCAGGAGCUGUGUCCAUGCAGAGCUAUGAGCACUGGUGACACUCCGCCCAUCCAUAUGUCUGUCCAGGUCAUGUGUCCGAUUCCUCAGCAGGAACCAUAACUGCAGGUGAGGGACUCUCCUUUGCUCCUACUGACCCCAUCCCUUCA